rnacentral:rRNA from 1 species
GUAGGUGGCAAGCGUUGUUCGGGAAUUAUUGGGGCGUAAAGCGCGCGCAGGCGGUUCUUUAAGUCUGAUGUGAAAGCCCACGGGCUCAACCGUGGAGGGUCAUUGGAAACUGGAGAACUUGAGUACAGAAGAGGAAAGCGGAAUUCCACGUGUAGCGGUGAAAUGCGUAGAGAUGUGGAGGAACACCAGUGGCGAAGGCGGCUUUCUGGUCUGUAACUGACGCUGAGGCGCGAAAGCGUGGGGAGCAAACAGGAUUAGAUACCCUGGUAGUCCACGCCGUAAACGAUGAGUGCUAAGUGUUAGGGGGUUUCCGCCCCUUAGUGCUGCAGCUAACGCAUUAAGCACUCCGCCUGGGGAGUACGGCCGCAAAGGCUG